rnacentral:rRNA from 1 species
UGGGGAAUAUUGGACAAUGGGCGAAAGCCUGAUCCAGCCAUGCCGCGUGUGUGAAGAAGGUCUUCGGAUUGUAAAGCACUUUAAGUUGGGAGGAAGGGCAGUAAGCGAAUACCUUGCUGUUUUGACGUUACCGACAGAAUAAGCACCGGCUAACUCUGUGCCAGCAGUCGCGGUAAUACAGAGGGUGCAAGCGUUAAUCGGAAUUACUGGGCGUAAAGCGCGCGUAGGUGGUUCGUUAAGUGGAAUGUGAAAGCCCCGGGCUCAACCUGGGAACUGCAUCCAAAGCUGGCGAGCUAGAGUAGGGCAGAGGGUGGUGGAAUGUCCUGUGUAGCGGUGAAAUGCGUAGAUAUAGGAAGGAACACCAGUGGCGAAGGCGACCACCUGGGCUCAUACUGACACUGAGGUGCGAAAGCGUGGGGAGCAAACAGG